CGCUGCUCAGAGCAAACCCGUCGAAAGACGGUGACGCAGAGUUACGGGACUAAGGCGCCACCAGGCGCUAUGUCUGCCGGGCCGCCAGC
rnacentral:ncRNA from 1 species